UACGGAGGGUGCAAGCGUUGCUCGGAAUUAUUGGGCGUAAAGGGUAGGUAGGUGGUCUCAUUUGUCUGGGGUGAAAGCCUUGAGCUUAACUCAAGAAGUGCCCCAGAAACGGUGAGACUGGAGUCCUGGAGAGGGUCGUGGAAUUCCACGUGUAGCAGUGAAAUGCGUAGAGAUGUGGAGGAACACCGAUGGCGAAGGCAGCCCCCUGGGUCAAGAUUGACGCUCAUGCACGAAAGCGUGGGGAGCAAACAGG
rnacentral:rRNA from 1 species